rnacentral:rRNA from 2 species
GAUUUCUGGCUUGGUGCGCGCCGUCCGGUGCGGUUACGUACUGUGUGCGGUUGUGCGCCUGCCAUCUUGCUGGUUAGUACUCUGGGCCCUUCACUGGGUUCAGAUGCUGAUCGGCUCUUUUACUUUGAAAAAAUUAGAGUGUUCAAAGCAGGCUUGCGCUAUGAAUACAUUAGCAUGGAAUAAUAAUUUAGGACUUUUGUCCUAUUUUGUUGGUUUCUAGGAUGAAAGUAAUGAUUGAUAGGGAUAGUUGGGGGUGCUAGUAUUCAGCGGCCAGAGGUGAAAUUCUUGGAUUCGCUGAAGACUAACUUAUGCGAAAGCAUU